UCCUAGCCCAGAUGGGAAUGAAAAUCCUUUUGGAUUGAACGGUAUUUUUUCUUGACUAAAAAAAGCGACUGGAAGAAGCUCUUUUUUGGUCUUAGAAAAAAACAGUUUCAAACCAAAAGAUUGUAAUGUACAGCUGGAUAAUGC
rnacentral:sRNA from 1 species